rnacentral:ncRNA from 1 species
ACAAAUACGAUGAUCGGGAAGAGUAGACGGAGAGGAAGUUUUCUCAGAGAGCCGGCGUAGGUGAGAGUCCGGUAAAAUGACCGCCGUUGAAUGGGCCCGUGAGUAGUGGACCGAAACAAGAGGAGUAGGCUCCAACGGAAUGUUCUCACGUUACCGGGAACGGGGUAUCGGACGUCUUUUGAUUUGUCCCGUACCUGUCUAAGAGGGUCUGUUUAUAUUUACAGGCCAAUUAAGGUGGCACCGCGAAAGCAGGUCUUUCGUCCUUCUA